GACGAACGCUGGCGGCGUGCUUAACACAUGCAAGUCGAACGGAAAGGCCCUGCUUUUGUGGGGUGCUCGAGUGGCGAACGGGUGAGUAACACGUGAGUAGCCUGCCCUUGACUUUGGGAUAACUUCAGGAAACUGGGGCUAAUACCGGAUAGGAGCUCCUGCUGCAUGGUGUGGGUUGGAAAGUUUCGGCGGUUGGGGAUGGACUCGCGGCUUAUCAGCUUGUUGGUGGGGUAGUGGCUUACCAAGGCUUUGACGGGUAGCCGGCCUGAGAGGGUGACCGGCCACAUUGGGACUGAGAUACGGCCCAGACUCCUACGGGAGGCAGCAGUGGGGAAUAUUGCACAAUGGGCGGAAGCCUGAUGCAGCAACGCCGCGUGCGGGAUGACGGCCUUCGGGUUGUAAACCGCUUUCGCCUGUGACGAAGCGUGAGUGACGGUAAUGGGUAAAGAAGCACCGGCUAACUACGUG
rnacentral:rRNA from 1 species